GACGAACGCUGGCGGCGUGCUUAACACAUGCAAGUCGAACGGAAAGGCCCUGCUUUUGUGGGGUGCUCGAGUGGCGAACGGGUGAGUAACACGUGAGUAACCUGCCCUUGACUUUGGGAUAACUUCAGGAAACUGGGGCUAAUACCGGAUAGGAGCUCCUGCUGCAUGGUGGGGGUUGGAAAGUUUCGGCGGUUGGGGAUGGACUCGCGGCUUAUCAGCUUGUUGGUGGGGUAGUGGCUUACCAAGGCUUUGACGGGUAGCCGGCCUGAGAGGGUGACCGGCCACAUUGGGACUGGGAUACGGCCCAGACUCCUACGGGAGGCAGGAGUGGGGAAUAUUGCACAAUGGGCCGAAGCCUGAUGCAGCAACGCCGCGUGCGGGAUGACGGCCUUCGGGUUGUAAACCGCUUUCGCCUGUGACGAAGCGUGAGUGACGGUAAUGGGUAAAGAGGCACCGGCUAACUACGC
rnacentral:rRNA from 1 species